rnacentral:rRNA from 1 species
CCUACGGGUGGCAGCAGUGAGGAAUAUUGGUCAAUGGGCGCGAGCCUGAACCAGCCAAGUAGCGUGAAGGAUGACUGCCCUACGGGUUGUAAACUUCUUUUAUAAGGGAAUAAAGUGAGGCACGUGUGCCUUUUUGUAUGUACUUUAUGAAUAAGAAUAGGCUAACUCCGUGCCAGCAGCCGCGGUAAUACAGAGGAUCCGAGCGUUAUCCGGAUUGAUUGGUUUUAAAGGGAGCGUAGAUGGGUUGUUAAGUCAGUUGUGAAAGGUUGCGGCUCAACCGUAAAAUUGCAAUUGAUACUGGCAGCCUUGAGUACAGUUGAGGUAGGCGGAAUUCAUGGUGUAGCGGUG